rnacentral:rRNA from 1 species
CCUACGGGAGGCAGCAGUGAGGAAUAUUGGUCAAUGGACGAGAGUCUGAACCAGCCAAGUAGCGUGAAGGAUGACUGCCCUAUGGGUUGUAAACUUCUUUUAUAUGGGAAUAAAAUGUUCCACGUGUGGGAUUUUGUAUGUACCAUAUGAAUAAGGAUCGGCUAACUCCGUGCCAGCAGCCGCGGUAAUACGGAGGAUCCGAGCGUUAUCAGGAUUUAUUGGGUUUAAAGGGAGCGUAGGUGGAUUGUUAAGUCAGUUGUGAAAGUUUGCGGCUCAACCGUAAAAUUGCAGUUGAAACUGGCAGUCUUGAGUACAGUAGAGGUGGGCGGAAUUCGUGGUGUAGCGGUGAAAUGCUUAGAUAUCACGAAGAACUCCGAUUGCGAAGGCAGUUCACUGGACUGCAACUGACACUGAGGCUCGAAAGUGUGGGUAUCAAACAGGAUUAGAUACCCCUGUAGUC